UACGAAGGGGGCUAGCGUUGCUCGGAAUCACUGGGCGUAAAGGGUGCGUAGGCGGGUCUUUAAGUCCGGGGUGAAAUCCUGGAGCUCAACUCCGGAACUGCCUUUGAUACUGAGGAUCUUGAGUUCGGGAGAGGUGAGUGGAACUGCGAGUGUAGAGGUGAAAUUCGUAGAUAUUCGCAAGAACACCAGUGGCGAAGGCGGCUCACUGGCCCGAUACUGACGCUGAGGCACGAAAGCGUGGGGAGCAAACAGG
rnacentral:rRNA from 1 species